rnacentral:rRNA from 1 species
GAUCCUGGCUCAGGAUAAACGCUGGCGGCGCACAUAAGACAUGCAAGUCGAACGGACUUAACCAUUAGUUUACUAUUGGAGCGGUUAGUGGCGGACUGGUGAGUAACACGUAAGCAACCUGCCUAUCAGAGGGGAACAACAGUUAGAAAUGACUGCUAAUACCGCAUAUGCCUAAGUACCACAUGGUACAAUAGGGAAAGGAGUAAUCCGCUGAUAGAUGGGCUUGCGUCUGAUUAGA